rfam:Streptococcus dysgalactiae subsp. dysgalactiae ATCC 27957 chromosome, whole genome shotgun sequence.
AAAACCUUUAAAUGACGUCCAGAGAGGCGAACAAGGAAUACAGGAGAAAAAGAGGAUGAACUUUCCCUCUUACUUUGGUGUAGCCUCGCUUCUUUGGAAGCGAGGUCUUUUGCUA